rnacentral:rRNA from 1 species
AUUGAACGCUGGCGGCAUGCUUUACACAUGCAAGUCGAACGGCAGCGCGGUCUUCGCCUUCUCUGCCGGUGGCGAACUGGUGGGUAAUUCAUCGGUACGUGCCCAUUUGUUUUGUAUUGCUCGGCGACAUCCGGAUUAUUACCGCAUUCGACCUUACGACCAACGCGUGGGAUCUUCGGAUCUCCCGCUCUUGCACCGUCCGAUGGCAGAUUAGCUAGUUGGUGGGGUAAAGGCCUACCAAGGCGACGAUCUGUAGCUGGUCUGAGAGGACGACCAGCCACACUGGAACUGAGACACGGCCCAGACUCCUACGGGAGGCAGCAGUGGGGAAUAUUGGACAAUGGGCGAAAGCCUGAUCCAGCAAUACCGCGUGUGUGAUGAAGGCCUUCGGGUUGUAAAGCACUUUUGGCGGGAACGAAAAGGAGUGUGUCAAUACCACGGUGCGAUGACGGUACCCAAAGAAUAAGCACCGGCUAACUACGUG